CCGCACGCGCGCUACACUGACAGAGCCAGCGAGUACUCCCUUGACCGGAAGGUCUGGGUAAUCUUGUUAAACUCUGUCGUGCUGGGGAUAGAGCAUUGCAAUUAUUGCUCUUCAACGAGGAAUUCCUAGUAAGCGCAAGUCAUCAGCUUGCGUUGAUUACGU
rnacentral:rRNA from 1 species